GACGAACGCUGGCGGCGUGCUUAACACAUGCAAGUCGAACGGUAAGGCCCUUCGGGGUACACGAGUGGCGAACGGGUGAGUAACACGUGGGUGAUCUGCCCUGCACUUCGGGAUAAGCCUGGGAAACUGGGUCUAAUACCGGAUAGGACUCCGGACUGCAUGGUCUGGGGUGGAAAGCUUUUGCGGUGUGGGAUGGGCCCGCGGCCUAUCAGCUUGUUGGUGGGGUGAUGGUCUACCAAGGCGACGACAGGUAGCCGGCCUGCGAGGGUGACCGGCCACACGGGGACUGAGAUACGGCCCAGACUCCUACGGGAGGCAGCAGUGGGGAAUAUUGCACAAUGGGCGCAAGCCUGAUGCAGCGACGCCGCGUGAGGGAUGACGGCCUUCGGGUUGUAAACCUCUUUCAGCAUCGACGAAGCGAAAGUGACGGUAGGUGCAGAAGAAGGACCGGCCAACUACGUGCCAGCAGCCGCCGUAA
rnacentral:rRNA from 1 species